ACCUAGACGCUGGGCCCAGAGCCCUCCCAGGGCGGGGGCGGGGACGGCGACCCGCCGCCGCCCAGCUCCUGGCCUCGGCGCCGUCACCUCCGUCCUUAAGCUCCGUGGCGCCCAAAGCCCGGGGUUCUUGCAGCCUAGGAAGAUGCGCGGAGGACGGCGCCGUCCGGAGAGAGGGCGCCAAAGGCGACACGCCAGCGGCCAGCUCCAGGCCAAGCCCAGUGCGUCUGCAGGAACCGGCCCCCUUCACUUGGCGCGGGACACCGAGCAGCGCGAGGAUCUUCUUCUACGCGAACUCAACGCCAGGGCGCCACCUAGAGGCCUGCGACGGCCUCAGCCUUAUCCACCGGCGACUACAGAGCUGCUUCCCCAGCCUCGGCCAGAAAUUGCGGCGGGAAAUCCAGCUCAGGUCUCAGGAACACUUCCGGCACCUUUGACUUGUCUGAGCACCCCCGCCUUUAAUGAACUCUAGGAAGGGACACGGGCCUGGAAGGUCCAGAAAUACUGAUUUUUGUGACUCCCACUAAAUGGAAGGGGGUCUCAAUUUCGAUUUCUUUGAGGAUCCUGUGUUGUACAUCUCUGUCUGCACUGCCUCCUCUCACCAUCUAAAUUGUCCGACCCCCUCCAAUUAUGCUAGAGUUUUGCUUUAUCUUAAAGGAAGGGAGUAGGGAAAUUUGCCCCUCAAUCUUACAGCUUGGUCAUCUACAUUUUCAGUUUUCUGAAUAAUUUGGAGAUGGACAUGCUUUUGGAAAAGUAUUUGGAAAGCUUUUGAGGGUGAAAAGAAA